rnacentral:rRNA from 1 species
UACAGAGGGUGCAAGCGUUAAUCGGAAUUACUGGGCGUAAAGCGUGCGUAGACGGUUGCGUAAGUCAGAUGUGAAAGCCCCGGGCUCAACCUGGGAAUUGCAUUUGAGACUGCGUAGCUAGGGUGCGGAAGAGGGAAGCGGAAUUUCCGGUGUAGCGGUGAAAUGCGUAGAUAUCUGGAGGAAUACCGGUGGCGAAGGCGGCAUCCUGGACCAUAACUGACGCUGAGGCGCGAAAGCUAGGGGAGCAAACGGG